rnacentral:rRNA from 1 species
AGUGAACGCUGGCGGUAGGCCUAACACAUGCAAGUCGAACGGCAGCACAGUAAGAGCUUGCUCUUACGGGUGGCGAGUGGCGGACGGGUGAGGAAUACAUCGGAAUCUACUUUUUCGUGGGGGAUAACGUAGGGAAACUUACGCUAAUACCGCAUACGACCUACGGGUGAAAGCAGGGGAUCUUCGGACCUUGCGCGAUUGAAUGAGCCGAUGUCGGAUUAGCUAGUUGGCGGGGUAAAGGCCCACCAAGGCGACGAUCCGUAGCUGGUCUGAGAGGCUGAUCAGCCACACUGGAACUGGGACACGGUCCAGACUCCUACGGGACGCAGCAGUGGGGAAUAUUGGACAAUGGGCGCAAGCCUGAUCCAGCCAUACCGCGUGGGUGAAGAAGGCCUUCGGGUUGUAAAGCCCUUUUGUUGGGAAAGAAAAGCAGCAGGUUAAUACCCAGCUGUUCUGACGGUACCCAAUGAAUAAGCACCGGCUAACUUCGUG